GCCAGGCAUAGUGGUGCAUGCCUGUAAUCCCAGCGGUUUGGGAGGUUGAGGUAGGAGGAUUGCAAGUUCAAAGCCAGCCUCAGCAAUGGCGAGGCACUAAGCAAUUCAAUGAGACCCUGUCUCUA
rnacentral:sRNA from 1 species